AUGACGGUGUUCUUCAAAACACUGCGAAAUCAUUGGAAGAAAACUACACCUGGGCUCUGCCUGCUGACCUGGGAGGCCAUUGGCUCUAUGGAAAACACUGUGAUGACAUACUAAGGAGAGCAGCUGGUCAAGAAGCUCAGGUGUUUGGCAAUCAACACAUUCCUCCCAACGCACAAGUGAAAAAGGCAAGUGUUUUUCUCAAUCCCGCAGCUUGCAAAGGCAAAGCCAGGACUCUAUUUUUUAAAAAAUGCUGCCCUGAUUUUAUAUUUAUCUGGCAUGGAUGUGACUACUGUUAAGAUAGAUUGUGACGGACAAGCCAAGAAACUCCUGGAACUGAUGGAAGACACAGAUGUGAUCAUUGUUGCAGGAGAUAGGACACUGCAGGAGGUUGUUACUGGAGUUCUUGGAUGAACAGUGAGGCUACCUUCAGUUAGAUUCCCAUUGGAUUUAUCCCACCGGGAGAGACGAGUAGUUUGAGUCAUACCCUCUUUGCCAAAAGUGGAAACAAAGUCCAACAUAUUACUGAUGCUACACUUGCCAUUGUGAAAGGACAGUUCUACUUGAUGUCUUGCAGAUCAAGGGUGAAAAGGAACAGCCUGUGUUUGCAACAAUCAGCCUUCAACGGGAAUCCUUCAGAGAUGCUGGCAUCAAAGCUAACAAAUAUUCGUAUUUUGGGCCCUAGAAAUCAAAGUAGCCCGCUUUUUCAGCAGUCUUACGGAGUGGCCUCAGACUCAUUAAGCCUCUAUCUCAUACACAGGACCUACAGAGAGAUCUCCCAGUGAAACAGAGGAGACCCCUGUCCAAAGACCUUCUUUAUAGAGGAGAAUAUUACAAACGCUUGCAUCCUACUGGGCACAACCACAGGAUGCCCUUUACCAAGAGGUGAGCCCAGAGGUCUGGAAAGAUGUGCAACUGUCCAUUGUUGAACUAUUCAUCACGACAUAGAACAAUCAGCUUGACCCGACAAGCAAAGAUGAUUUUAUGAAUAUGUGCAUUGAACCUGACACCAUCAGUGAAACCCCAAGCUGCACGCUAAGGCACAGAGUGUCUCCAAGCCAGCCACUGCACUUUGAUUGUCCCGGAGGGAGGAGUUCUUUUAGCACUGACAGUGAGGAGUAUGAAGCGAUGCCUAUGGAGGUGAAACUGCUCCCUAGGAAGCUGCAGUUCUUCUGUGAUCCUAGGAAGAGAGAGCAGAUGCUCAGAUGCUGGCAAGCCCCACUCAGUGAGCAGGCAGAAGGCCAGUGCUCCGAGACCACACUUUAGGCCACAGGUGGGACCAAAACAGAACAGGUGCCUCAACCAUCCCAACAGUGUUGACAGAAGGUCCCAAGGGCAUUUUCAUGGCAAGUAUGUCUCUGCCCCCCUCCAGUAGUGACUCCCAAAGUGUGCUCUGUCACCUGCUUUGCAAUCAGCUUCCGUUAGCGCAUGUUUUGUUUUGGUGUGACGACCCUCCUAAACACGAACUUUCCUCAGGCUAGUUCAAGACGGAAAAGGACUUUCUUCUGUUUUCUCCAAAAGUGCGACCACCGUGGAGAGCCCACAGUGGGCUUAGCCUGCCUAAGCCCUUCCAUUUCCGUUAUGUUCUUUGACCGUGCUAGGAAUUCUGGUGAAAGUGCCUUCCUUCCCCGGUGACCUUUACCUAUUUCUAGGCUCGUCUACGGGUGCUGCUAUUUUGUGAGCUCUGGCUUAUGGUGUGCUUUUAUUUCAGUUCUAUCCUCAGUCCAGAAAUGCAUGUGAGGUUUUUUUUCCCUCUUCAGCCAUGGCUGCAAUGCUGUAAAAUGCUAGUUUUUAUUUUUUUAAGUUGUGCUUCCUAAAUGGAUUGCAUGAGAGUCAACUGGGGUGCGU